AGAAAGGGUAAGCCGCCAAGAAUGGAGGAGGACCAGAGCAGCAACCAGAGUGAAGCCAGCCCAGCUUGAAGUCAGGAGAGGCAGACGUGAGGAAGACGGGAACUCCCAGGGAGUCUCUGUGGAGAGGGGACAAGCUUUCACCUUUGUUUAACCUCGUCUUUCGUGGUUUCAUCUCUCUGGAGUUCCCUGGGGAUGGGUGCCAGUGUGUGUCUUUCUGAGUCUGGCUUCUUUUGUUUAACCUGAUGAUCUCCAGUUCCAUCUAUUUUUCAUGAAAAUGACAAGAUUUGAUUCAUCUUUCUGGCUAAACAAUGCUCCAUUUUGCUAGCAGAUGUAUAAAUUAGUCUAGUCACCAUGGAAAUCUGUGUGGAGGUUCCUCAAAAGACCAAAACUAGGAGUAUCAUGUGACCCAACGAUGUCCCUCCUGGGUAUGUAUCUGAAGGACUCAAAGUCAGCAUGACAUAGAUAUACCCACAUACCCAUACUUAUUGCUACAUUAUUUCACAAUGGGUGGGACAUGGGAUUAGCCCCAAUGUUCAUCAAGAGAUAAAUGGAUAAGAAAGAUAUGGAAUGAGCCAAUCACCAGAGCUGUGUCUAUAGCUCCUUUAUUCUGUUGACUGUCUUCCAUUUAUUUCCUUUGGACAGAUUCUAAAGAGGGACUUGGAGCAGCCGUGUGAUCAGGUUAGCCAAGAGACACUCACACAGUCAUCCUCAGUUUGGGUACCACCCUUCUGAAGAGGAGCCUCCAGAUCAGAGGAACAUUCACACUCCAUACUCACAACCCCUCUUCAGACUACUUUCCAGAUACCUCAGCCCCCCAGUGACUGAAUGAUAGUUUCAAAGCUUGCACAGCCCUGCUCUCAGGGUCUUCUUUCCUGAGAUCCAAUUGCACUAGUAGUAGGCAGAGCUGGAACUGAGGAAUGGAACAACUGUUGCUUGACCUUCAGUGUUUGGGCAUGUAGCUGUGGUUUUCUCCCAGGGCAAGGCAGACCUGGGGUCUCUGAAGAGAAUUUCUUGGAGCCAGUAGCACCAACAUAGGAAUGUUAAAUAUGAACUCAACCUUCUAAGUGGUUUUGGGGAUACACUGGUCAAGACAGGAGGGUAGAGAAUAUUAUUAUUGAACAGGUUGUCACCUCAACAUAACAUUCAACUAUUUAGACAUCAUAAUGUAACAACACUCCACUUAAACCUGUGCCUGGACUUCCAGGUGUUAAAGAGAGGUCCAGGUUAAAGGGUCUGAUGUUUCUAUACUCUCCUGUUGCAUUUAUAACUCCUUGAUAUUUUUUUCUAGACACUGGAGCCGGUCUUGUACUCCUGUUCAUGGGCUCUCAGGCAAUUAGGAUUAUGGUUGUUGCUGACUUAGUAGAAGUGGUUGUUGCUGAUUUAGUAGGUGUGAAGUGGCAUGCCAUUGCCACCAUCUGUGUUUCCUUGAUUGCAAGAAUGAAAGGAAAAGUUACCUUCAUUGAACUUUACUGCAUGCCAAGCACUGUGGUGAUGAAUUUUGUCUCUAUUUGCCCAUGAGGACCCUGGAAAAAGAAGAAAAAGAGGAAUUUUCCAGCAGGGCAUUCAGUGAUCAGCACUCGUAGAGCUGGAAACUAAUUUUGUCAAAAAUCUGUAAUUUGUAAUUGCAUUUGUAAUUUGUAUUGCAUUAUAUACAUGAAUACACUUCCUAAAUGCAUGUCCUGUUUGAUGGCUGACUUUUAACUUAAAAUUUUAAACUUUUAUUAUUUUAAAUUUUAAUUCUGGAAUUAUUUUAAAUUCAUAGCAAAGCUCAAAGAUGUAAAGGAUUGCUAUGCACCCUUUGCCUGAGGUUGCCUAUUGUCAACAUCCUAGGAAGACUAGCAACAAAACUAUUCAAUACUUGCAAAAGUUUUAAAAUUAUAUAUUGUGUGUGUUUCUCUGUGCGUGUGUGCAUGUGUGUAUCUGUGUGUGUAUCUAUGUGUGUGUAUCUCUGUGUGUGUCUAUGUGUAUGUCUGUGUGUGUAUCUGUGUAUGUGUGCAUGUGUGUGUAUCACUAUGUCUGUAUAACUGUGUGUGCAUGUAUGUGUAUCUCUGUGUGUAUGCCUAUGUGUAGAUGUGUGUG
ensembl:lncRNA